rnacentral:rRNA from 1 species
GCUUAGUCGUAAACUUAAAUAGUCCCAAAACAAGACUAUUCGCCAGAGUACUAUCGGCAACAGCCCAAAACUCAAAGGACUUGGCGGUGCUUCAUAUCCUUCUAGAGGAGCCUGUUCUAUAAACGAUAAACCACGAUUAACCUCACCAAUCCUUGCUACUUCAGUCUAUAUACCGCCAUCUUCAGCAAACCCUAAAAAAGGAAUGAAAGUAAGCACAACUAUUGUACAUAAAAACGUUAGGUCAAGGUGUAACCUAUGGAUUGGGAAGAAAUGGGCUACAUUUUCUAUAAUAAGAACACCACUUAAACUUAUACGAAAGUUUUUAUGAAACCUAAAAACUAAAGGAGGAUUUAGCAGUAAAUUAAGAAUAGAAUGCUUAAUUGAAUAAGGCCAUGAAGCACGC